rnacentral:piRNA from 1 species
UGUAUGGAGUGUGAAACUGUGGCUAUGG